UUCUUAUCGCACAAGACUCCAGAUGUGAGCCUCCAUUUCAUCCAUCCCGCCCCUAUGCGGUGAGUGACGUCUUCGUCGAUCUCUCCAUCCCCCUGAAUCACCGACCCAAGGUACUUGAAGCUAGCUCUCUUGGGGACGAACUGUGACCCAAGCCUCACUUCCCCGCCUCUAUCCCUCGAUUCAGUGCUAAACUUGCACUCCAUGUACUCUGUCUUAGACCUGCUCAAUUUGAAACACUUAGACUCGAG
rnacentral:lncRNA from 1 species